rnacentral:rRNA from 1 species
AGAACGAACGCUGGCGGCAUGCCUAAUACAUGCAAGUCGAACGAACACUUCGGUGUUAGUGGCGCACGGGUGCGUAACGCGUGGGAAUCUGUCCUUGGGUUCGGAAUAACAGUUGGAAACGACUGCUAAUACCGGAUGAUAUCGAAAGAUCAAAGAUUUAUCGCCCAGGGAUGAGCCCGCGUAGGAUUAGCUAGUUGGUGAGGUAAAGGCUCACCAAGGCGACGAUCCUUAGCUGGUCUGAGAGGAUGAUCAGCCACACUGGGACUGAGACACGGCCCAGACUCCUACGGGAGGCAGCAGUAGGGAAUAUUGGACAAUGGGCGAAAGCCUGAUCCAGCAAUGCCGCGUGAGUGAUGAAGGCCUUAGGGUUGUAAAGCUCUUUUACCCGAGAUGAUAAUGACAGUAUCGGAGAAUAAGCCCCGGCUAACUCCGUGCCAGCAGCCGC